rnacentral:rRNA from 1 species
CAGUCGCCACGGUAAUACGGAGGGUGCAAGCGUUAUCCGGAUUCACUGGGUUUAAAGGGUGCGUAGGCGGGCAGUUAAGUCAGUGGUGAAAUCUCCGGGCUCAACCCGGAAACUGCCGUUGAUACUAUCUGUCUUGAAUACCGUUGAGGUGAGCGGAAUAUGUCAUGUAGCGGUGAAAUGCUUAGAUAUGACAUAGAACACCGAUUGCGAAGGCAGCUCACUAAACGGUCAUUGACGCUGAGGCACGAAAGCGUGGGGAUCAAACAGGAUUAGAUACCCCGGUAGUCCCUGUCUCUUAUAC